rnacentral:rRNA from 1 species
UACGAAGGGGGCUAGCGUUGCUCGGAAUCACUGGGCGUAAAGGGUGCGUAGGCGGGUCUUUUAAGUCAGGGGUGAAAUCCUGGAGCUCAACUCCAGAACUGCCUUUGAUACUGAAGAUCUUGAGUUCGGGAGAGGUGAGUGGAACUGCGAGUGUAGAGGUGAAAUUCGUAGAUAUUCGCAAGAACACCAGUGGCGAAGGCGGCUCACUGGCCCGGUACUGACGCUGAGGUGCGAAAGCGUGGGAAGCAAACAGGG